AGAGUUUGAUCCUGGCUCAGAUUGAACGCUAGCGGCAUGCCUAACACAUGCAAGUCGAACGGCAGCACGGUAUGUAGCAAUACAUAUGGGUGGCGAGUGGCGGACGGGUGAGUAAUACGUAGGAAUCUGCCUUAUAGUGGGGGAUAACCCGGGGAAACUCGGGCUAAUACCGCAUAAUCUCUAUGGAGCAAAGUGGGGGAUCGUAAGACCUCACGCUAUUAGAUGAGCCUACGCCGGAUUAGCUAGUUGGUAGGGUAAAGGCCUACCAAGGCAACAAUCCGUAGCUGGUCUGAGAGGAUGACCAGCCACACUGGGACUGAGACACGGCCCAGACUCCUACGGGAGGCAGCAGUGGGGAAUAUUGGACAAUGGGGGCAACCCUGAUCCAGCAAUGCCGCGUGUGUGAAGAAGGCCUUCGGGUUGUAAAGCACUUUUAGCGGGGAAGAAAGGUAUAAAAUUAAUACUUUUAUGCAUGACGUACCCGCAGAAA
rnacentral:rRNA from 1 species